GAUGAACGCUGGCGGCGCGCCUAACACAUGCAAGUCGAACGAUUAAAGCACCUUCAGGUGUGUAUAAAGUGGCGAACGGCUGAGUAACACGUGGCAACCUGCCCCUUUCAUUGGGAUAGCCACGGGAAACCGUGGAUAAUACCGAAUACUUCGAGACUUCCGCAUGGAAGACUCGAGAAAGCUCCGGCGGAGAGGGAUGGGCCCGCGGCCUGUUAGCUUGUUGGUGGGGUAACGGCCUACCAAGGCAAUGAUGGGUAGCUGGGUUGAGAGACCGACCAGCCAGAUUGGGACUGAGACACGGCCCAGACUCCUACGGGAGGCAGCAGUGGGGAAUCUUGCACAAUGGGCGAAAGCCUGAUGCAGCGACGCCGCGUGCGGGAUGAAGGCCUUCGGGUUGUAAACCGCUUUCAGCAGGGACGAGGCGAAAGUGACGGUACCUGCAGAAGAAGCCCCGGCUAACUACGUG
rnacentral:rRNA from 1 species